AAAUAAAAAGCUGAUUUAGGGGAACAGGAUCCCAGUGGUCAGCCAGUGAGUGGGGAGGCAAGUACCAACACCCGAGCACCCAACUUCUAGGCCAAGGCCCUCUGAAAAUGUUUUCUGCUCAAUCCUCUCUGCAGACAUCUUCUGCUGAGAAGUGUUCAGAUUUUUCUCAGAGGCUGAGUGAGGUCAAGUCAACCCAAUUCGUCCAUGUAAAUACAAGUGAUAUACCCUUUAAAAGGUGCUGGCAAGAGACGUGUUCACUUGAAGUCAAGCUUUUUUCUUUCUCUUGGACUCCAUAAUACCUGUCAUCAUUUAUUUAUAAUCCCACUGAGUAUCCUACUUAGGUUUUUUGGCACAUCUGGGCACUGAGCAAGGCUAAUUAAUCCCCCUUCCCCCAUGAAUUCCUGGGUAAGAAUAAUUGCUUUAUGAGGGUGGUUAUAGGGGUACCCGAAGCCUCAAGGAAAAUCAUUACAUCUCUGAGUGGAUGUCGCUCAGGACAACGGGUCUUUGCUGUGGCCCUGCCCAGACAAAGCACCAGCAGCCUGAGGGAUUUUUCCAUCAGCUUGGACUCCAGUCUUCUCACCCAUCUCUCUUUUGUCACACCCCAAAAUAAUAAUCAUAAUCAUAAUUAAAAACAGGAUAAUGGUGGAAUCUUCCUCUCAGGGUUGCUGAAAGAAGUAAAAAGAUAAUGCAAAUAAAGUGUUUCACACCUUGCCUAAAAGUAGUAAGUACUCAUUAAGGGAAGAGUAGUAGCAAUGCUAACAAUGACAAUAUCAGCUAACAUUGAUUGAGCACUUCCUGUAUACCAGGCCCUGUUCUAAAUGCUUUGCAUGCGUCUGAUCUCAUUUAAGAUUCUUUCCAGCUCUUUCACUCUCAGGCUGAAUAUUCUGAUAUAAACAAGACCUAUUAAAUGUUAGAUGAUACUUGAGUGAACAGAUGUCUGAUUCUAGUGCCUGUUCUAUUUUCCCCUAGCCUGAUUGUCUUUAUUAAGCCCUGGGUUUCCUGGCCCAAGUUCCUGAGGAGCCUGGGAACUCCAAGACGCAAUGGAAAGGAGGCGAGUCAGCAAAAGGAGGAAAUCAAAGCCACAGAGAUCAAGAGCUAAUUAACUGAUCCUCCUAAGAUAAUGUUUCAUUAAAAUCCAGUUCUUCUGCCCUGUGGGGACUGAUAUCUCUCCUACUGCCUCUCCAUUGCCCUUUUCCACCCAUUCCUGAUCUCAUCUGCCUCCGCUCUGAUCUUUCCCCAAGUCUUCUCCCUCCUCCAAUCCAACCUCCCCCCAGCUACUAGGGUAGACUUUUAAAGGCACAAGUCUGACCAUGUCACUCCCUAUUUAUAAGUCUUCACCACUCAUUGCCUGAGACAAAGGGCAAACUCCCAAGAUAAGGCAAAGGCCGUUCAUUCAUUUAACACAGAUUUCCUCAGUGCCUCUCCUCUCUCACAAGCUUGGGGAUGGUAGGACACAGAAACAAGUUUCUGACCCUUGCCCUGUUUCUCCAGCUUCUUUACCCACCACUCCUUUCCACAUUCCUGCAUUUCAGCAAAAACUUUCCAACCUCCGGCUUAGUGAUAGCCAGUCCCUAGGGAAACUGUUGUUAGUAUCCAUGCUUUGCUCAGCUCACUUCCACAUUGACUCUGGGCUUGGCCUUGUGACUUGCAUUUACCAGUGGAAUGUGGUGGCAGUAAUGCCAGUUCCAGGCCUAAGCCUUGAAAGGGUCGGGAAGCUUCUGCUUUUGUGCUCUUGGGAGCUCUGAACCACUGUGUAGGCAGCCAGGCUACCCUGCUGGAAGGGACCAUGUGGAAAAACCACAUGGAAAGUGAGAAGCCCUGCAAUUACAUGGAAAGAGACCAGAGGCUCAGCCCUCCCAAUGUUACAGCUGAAUGCAGCCUUCCAGCCAUACCUACCAAGGCACCAGGCAUAUGAAUGAAGUCGUCGUGGACGUCCCAGCCUCACCUAACAUCUGACUGCAGCUGCAUGAGAGACCCCCAAGUGAGAGCAGCAGCAGAACCAUCCAACUAUAAGCCCCAUUCUCUUUCUAUUAGUUCUUAUGAGAGCUAUUCAUUCUCAUGAGCUUUUUAGAAAGUGCCAACCUGGCUGGGCACUGUGGUUCACGCCUGUAAUCCCAGCACUUUGGGAGGCUAAGAUUGGUGGAUCACCUGAGGUCAGGAGUUUGAGACCAGCCUGACCAACAUGGUGAAACCCCGUCUCUACUAAAAAAAUUACAAAAAUUAGCCAAGCGUGUUGGCAGGCACCUGUAAUUCCAGCUACUCAGGAGGCUGAGGCAGGAGAAUUGCUUGAACCCAGGAGGUGGAGGUUGCAGUGAGCCAAGAUCAUGCUGCUAGACUCCAGCCUGGGCAACAGAGUGAGAUUCCAUCUCAAAACACAAACCAAAAGCGCCAAUCCACAAAGACAUGAGAAAUAAUAAAAUAGUUUUGUGUUAAGUCACUACAUCUUGGAGUUGUUUGUUACACAGCACGAGAUAUCUGAUACAGAGGCCUUGCUCCUGCUAUUUCCACAGCUUAGAAUGUUUCUCCAACCCCAGCCAUCUUCUUUACCCCACAUGGUGAACUCCUAUUCACCUUUCAGAGCCCAUAUUCAGCAUCACCUUCCCUGCCUCCCAUAGUCUGAGUUAAUGUCUCUUUCCUCUGGGAAACUGUAUGAGACUAACCUACAAUACUUAUUUUUCUGUUUCUUCCGCUGGCUAUGAAUGACAAUAUUUACUCAUGUAAUGCUCACAAGAACCCU
rnacentral:lncRNA from 1 species